AACAAAUUUGGAAGAAGAAAGAACAAAAAAAAAAAGAGAAGAGGAGAGUGGGUUUCGGCCAUGGCUUCAAAAAUUUAGCCAUGGAAAAUUGAUGAAGAAAAACUAUUUUCUCCUAGUUUUCCUACCUAACGGAAGGUCCUCUACAACAUGGAAGGGUUGUUGGAACAAGAACAUCAUUCAUUUGCACGAAUUCAUAACUUUAGCCAAGUGAAGAAUCAAAGGAGAAAGAUCAACAAGUUGCACAAAUGAGCGUAGCUAGUAAGGCGCGGCGCAGGUACACCCAGAUGAGCCGAAGUCAUUAUAGAAGAUGUUCCAGCGAAGUUGGUAAACUCCAUUUGGCCCUGGAGUGUAGCUGAGUCAGCGUGCUAUGCCAUGAUGUCUUGUUCGAAGUUAGAGACUUUGCGGACAGAGUCAUGAGUAUAGAGUGUCAGCUUGGUAGACGGCUUCACCCGUCACAAUGUUAUUACGUUUUAUGUCGCGGGUCCCAUAUGAUGAUAGACAUUACUUAUGGAAAAAAAAUUGGAGAGCUUACUAUGUAUUUAUUUCUUAAUUGGUACAAGAGUUUAUCUAUGUAAUAAGAGUCAGCGGGUUCGCUCGGCUCCAGAUAUGGGGUCGGGUGCCCAUCACACCCUAGUAAAGUCGGGGUGUGACAUCAGCAAUACAAGGAA